AAGAGACCACAAAUGACAAGGUGCCAGGGCAGGCAGAGAGCUGCGGGAUUCCAGGGCAUUUUCUGUCCAGUUUAGGCAGCUGGGAAGCCUGCAUUUUACAUCCGGCCUGGUUUGUCUCCAGAGGAUUCAAAAAGCCUUCUUCACCUGAAGCUGCACAGGAGGAGUCAUUU